AGACAAACACUGGGAAACAGCAUGAGCCUCUGCUGUAAAGACAAUAGUUUUGGCCCAUGGUUGGACACCCCAACAGAAGGAUCAAAUUCAAAUACAGGAAUUUUAAAAGGACUGAAGAUUAAAAGAAAAAAUACCUUUGUGUAAAUCAUCUUGAAUGCAUGGAUAAUUCCCAUGUACCUGUGUUCCCCUUUGACUUGGAACGCCAGACGAACUCUAACCAUAUCAAGAGGCCCAAGGUAACCUUCCUUUUUGGGGACAGCACACAACGUGGAAAACACUCCUGCCAGCAAUACAGAAAGAGGGAUUUAACACUUGGGGGGAAGGAACAAAAAUCAGGCAAACACUACUGACAAUCAGAAAGCAUGCACAGAAAGCUAAGGCUGCCCCGUGCUGCUCGGUGACUGGGGACAGCGGAGAGCCACUUUCACUGCCCAAACACUGCUGCAAGGGAGGGGUGGAAGGUGAAGUUUUAUCAGCUUUCUCACCUCCCAGACUCAGUGAACUCCCUCUGAAUUCAUGCACUCAGGGCCCAGGCCUUGCCUGGACUGUGAGCAGCCCCACUGCAGGUGCCACUACCCACCCACAGUCCCCUCCAGCAACAGAGGGGAGCAAACCAGCUGACUGCAAUUCAGAAUACAGAGACAAAUACCUUACAGCCUAAAACCACGGGAAAAGAAUCUGAUGUUGUACAGGCUAAAUUACAGACUAAAUGCCAUCACUGAGGAAAUGAAGUAAACAAGCUGAAGACUCUCAUUACCUACAAGCUAAACACCUUACACUUCUCGUCCCAGAGCUGCAACAAGAAGCAAUCCUAUUCUCUUUUAAUAGUUGGGAAAUAAUGCCAGAUCACACCAAGUUAGAGCAAAACUUAUAUUUUCACUAUAAAUAUUAGUUAGGCAAAAUUGCUAUCGAAUUGAAUUUCCUUUUUUUUUUUUUUUUAGGAAUAAGCUGUGAGACUCAAAAAGUUUUCAUUCAUAUGCAACUACUGAAUAAUUUAAGAGCUGAACAUGAAAAAGGCUUACACAUUGAUCCUGCUUUCAGGCAAAAGAAAAAAGAGUAGCUGGUGAACUUUCAAUUGACAUUUAAAAAUAAGUAUUAAUUAGUUUCUGAGGUCC